rfam:Otolemur garnettii contig107042, whole genome shotgun sequence.
CUGAUUUCCAGGGUUGACUCUGAUGAUCUGUCUAUCUGGGAGCGUGUCCCCUUCCCCCCUCAGCACUCCAUAUGAAUCCCUCCCAAAACUGUGGGCUUGGUUGAAAAGGAUGACCUUCCCCAAUAGAAGAGGACCAUUCCCUGGUUAAGGACCUUUGAGUAACUGGGCUCGCCUGCUAGAGAGCCCAACACGCUCUCAAGGGUAAAUAUGCCGCCUGCUAGGUUGCAGAAAUAAGAAAUAAGU